CUCCCCCUCCCAUCCAAUUUACAGAACCACGUGUGGGGUUCUACAUCUCCUUCCUCAGUUCUCCAGUUUCUUAUACAGUUUGGGUUUGAGGGGUUUUUUGGGUUUUUUUGUUUGUUUGUUUGCUUUUUUCUUUUCUUUUUUCCUUUUUCCUAUUUUUUCCCUCUCUCUCUUAAUGGUAAGAAAAUUAAUGCAGAGUGAGAAACGGGUCUGAAUUCGGAUCGCAGAGCCAACAGAAAGAGUACAGGACCUACAGAGCUAAUCAGACUUGCUGGACUAGCUGAUCCCCUGGGAUGAGCUGCUGACUACCUGAGAGAAUCCUAGCCUCCUAGCUCGGAGGGAACAGAGAAGCAUUGAGCAAGAAGCUAGGUUUUCACAGAGUGGACGCGAAAUCAACAAAGGAAAACCCUCCUGUCUGAGAACCGGUUUCUCAGCCUGGCUUGGAGGGGUAAGAGGAAUAGAUACAGCAGCAGUCUCCUGUCGUGGCCACUCUCCCCUUGCUCCCUCCUGCGCACCACCUUUUCACCAGAGUGGCUCUCCAGUCUAGCCAGCCUGCGGGGCUCCUAGCUUUGGCUUCCAGUAAAGCGCCAGCAGCCGUGACUCGGACACUUGGUGCUGAAACUAGAUCUUUCACCAAGGCUGGAGGCGAGGCGCCAGCCUAGAGCCAGAGGUGGCUGCCGCCCACGGUCCCCAGAACGUGGAGGGCAUCCUGGACCCCCAUCCCCCAGCUGACACAACCCUCCCCUUGGCCACCUUCAGGACCUCACCAGGUGUGGAGCGUUGAAACGCUUUGAAGAAGUGUGUUGCUAAUAGCCCAUAUAUAAUUGCAGAGAAGUCUUCAAUGGAAGCCCUUCGUGAGAUAAAUGGACAGUCUUGGAGAGCAAUGGAGUAAGAGAAGAUGACACGGAAGAACAGAACCAGGACGGCAUCAAAAGCAGCCCAUCCCCCUCCAUGGCUGCUGGAACUGCUGAGCAGAAGGUCAAAAGCUGUACUCAAGCAUCACUGGAGCUCGCAAACCCUGCCGUCUGGGCUGUGACUAAAUAACUGACAAAACUCGGAAGAGAGGAGCCACACGAGCCUACAUUUAUAUUCUGCCAUUUUACUUUAACUUAAAAGGUG
rnacentral:lncRNA from 1 species